rnacentral:rRNA from 1 species
GACGAACGCUGGCGGCGUGCUUAACACAUGCAAGUCGAACGCUGAAGCUCAGCUUUUGUUGGGUGGAUGAGUGGCGAACGGGUGAGUAACACGUGAGUAACCUGCCCCCUUCUUUGGGAUAACGCCCGGAAACGGGUGCUAAUACUGGAUAUUCACUGGUCUUCGCAUGGGGGUUGGUGGAAAGGGUUUUUCUGGUGGGGGAUGGGCUCGCGGCCUAUCAGCUUGUUGGUGGGGUGAUGGCCUACCAAGGCUUUGACGGGUAGCCGGCCUGAGAGGGUGACCGGUCACAUAGGGACUGAGAUACGGCCCAGAAUCAUACGGGAGGGAGAAGUGGGGAAUAUUGCACAAUGGGCGCAAGCAUGAUGCAGCGCCGCCGCGUGAGGGAUGGAGGCCUUCGGAUUGUGAAACUCUUUAGCUCAUGGUCAAGCCGCAACAAUGGUUGUGGUGAGGGUAGUGGGUAAAGAAGCGCCGGCUAACUACGUG